rnacentral:rRNA from 1 species
CCAAUAGCGUAUAUUAAAGUUGUUGCAGUUAAAAAGCUCGUAGUUGAAUUUCGGAAUCAGUAUGUCGGUCGCGCCUCCGGUAUGUACUGGCGUCACUGGUUCCUCCCUUCUGACGAACCAUCAUGCUAUUAAUUUAGUGUGGUGGGAAAUCAGGACUGUUACUUUGAAAAAAUUAGAGUGUUUAAAGCAGGCUCACGCUUGAAUACAUUAGCAUGGAAUAAUGAAAUAGGACGUUGAUCCUAUUUUGUUGGUUUCUAGGAUUGACGUAAUGAUUAAUAGGGAUAGUUGGGGGCAUUAGUAUUCAAUUGUCAGAGGUGAAAUUCUUGGAUUUAUUGAAGACUAACUACUGCGAAAGCAUUUGCCAAGGAUGUUUUCAUUAAUCAAGAACGAAAGUUAGGGGAUCGAAGACGAUCAGAUACCGUCGUAGUCUUAACCAUAAACUAUGCCGACUAGGGAUCGGAUGAUGUUAAUUUUUUAAUGACUCAUUCGGCGCCUUACG